rnacentral:tRNA from 1 species
UGGGGCCUUAGCUCAGCUGGCUAGAGCAUUCGGUUCAUACCCGAAAGGUCGUGGGUUCGACUCCCUCUGCCGCCAUC